UCUCUGUGGAGAGGGCAAGAGGGUCAAAUGAAGGAGAUGUGGUUCUCAUAACAGACCAGCAUGACUUCUCUCUUCUUGGAAGCCACCGGGCUGACUGCUCCCUGCAAUCCUGCACGAUUACUCACCUCUAGUCCUUCUUACAACUCACACAAAGGACAAAGUCGGAGGCUGUAUACAAUGCAGUGCAUGCACACACAUAUAUUCAAUUGAGCAACAUGGGGAAAAUAGUACUACUGUUGAAAGCUAUUUCUGCACUGUAAAACGUAACUGCCUGACUCAUUAAAGAAAUUGAGUAGCGGCUUCUCAAACAUCUCCAAAAGUAGUAGUCAGACACAUUGAUAUUUGAAGACAUGUACAGCACCCGGUGUCACAGGAAGGUCAAGGAGGUCAUUGAGAACCUCAGCCACCCGAGCCGUGACCUGUUCACCCCGCUACAAUCUAGAAGGCAGAGACAGUACUGGUGCGUCAAAGCUGGGACAGAGAGACUAAAAAACAACUUCUAAUCUCCAGACUGUUAAAUAGUCACCACUCGUCAUCCUCUGCACCAUACCAUACCCUGAACCUUAGUCACAGUUACUAGCCGGCUGCCACCCGGUACUCUACCCUGCACCUUAGAGACAGCUGCCCUAUGUACAUAGUCAUUGAAUUGGUCACUUUAAUAAUGUUGACAUACCAACUUAAUAUGUAUAUACAGUAUUCUAGUCAAGGCUCAUCCUAUAUAACUCCUGCUGUACACACAUUUUCUAUUCAUAUAUUGUCCAUACAUUAUAUACAUACAGUGCUUUGAGAGAGUAUUCACACCCCUUGAGUUUUUCCACAUUUUGUUGUAUUAAAAUGUUUUUCAAUUGUCUGUUUUGGUCAACGAUCUACACUAAAUACUCUAAAUGUCAAAGUGGGAGAACAUUUUUACAUUAAAAAAAACAUAAAAUUAAACAAUUAUAUAUCUUGAUGAGAUAAGCAUUUAACCACGAGUCAAUACAUGUUAGAAUCACCUUUGGCAGCAAUUACAGCUGUGAGUUUUUCUGCGUAAGUCUCAAAGAGCUUUGCACACUUGGAUUGUAUAAUAUCUGUCCAUUAUUCUUUUAAAAAAUUCUUCAAGCAUUGUUAAGUUGGUUUUUGAUCAUUGCUAGAUAGCCAUUUUCAAGUCCUCCCAAAGAUUUUCAAGCCGAUUUAAGUCAAAUCUGUAACUAGGGCACUCAGGAAAAUUCAAUGUCGUCUUGGUAAGCAACUCCACUGUGUAUUUGACUUUGUGUUUUAGGUAAUUGUCCUGCUGAACGGUGAACGUCUCCCAAUGUCUGUUGGAAAGCAAAGUGAACCAAGUUUUCCUCUAGUAUUUUGCCUGUGCUUAGCUCUAUUCUUUUUCCUUUUAUCCUAAAAAAAACACCCUAGUCCUGACAAGCAUACCCAUAACAUGAUGAUGCAACCCCCAUGCUUGAAAAUAUAAAGCAGUACUCAGUGAUGUGUUGUGUUGGAUUUUCCCCAAACAUAACACUUUGUUUUUAGGACAAAAAGUACAUUUCUUUGUAGUAUUAGUUUAGUGGCUUACUGCAAACAGGAUGCAUUUUUUUAAAUAUUGAUGUAUUCACUCAUUCAUUCUAUACAGGCUUCCUUCUUUUCACUCUGUAAUUUAUUUUCAUAUUGUGGAGUAAUGGCAAUGUUGUUGAUCCAUUCUCAGUUAUCUCCUAUCACAGCCAUUAAACUCUGUUUUAUAAUCAACAUUGGCCUCAUGGUGAAAUCCCUAAGUGGUUUCCUUCCUCUCCGGCAACUGAGUUAGGAAGGAUGCCUGUAUCUUUGCAGUGACCGGGUGUAUUGAUACACCAUCCAAAGUGUAAUUAAUACCUGCACCAUGCUCUAAGGAUAUUCAAUGUCUGUUUAGUUGUUUUACCCAUCUACCAAUAUGUGCCCUUUUUUGCGAACCAUUGCAAAACCUCCCUGGUCUGAGCGGUUGAAUUUGUGCUUGAAAUUCACUGCUCGACUGAGGAACCUUACAGAUUUUUGUAUGUGUGGUGUACAAAGACAAGGUAGUCAUUUAAAAAUCGUUACGUUAAACACUAUUACUGCACACAGAGUCCAUGCAAAUGUUUAUAUCUGAACUUUUUAGGCUGAACAUAACAAAAGGGUUGAAUACUUGAAUGGUUGAAUGGCUCAAGACAUUUCUACAUCUCAUUUUCUUUACAUUUGUAAACAUUUCUAAAAGCAUAAUUCCACUUUGACAUUAUGGGGUAUUGUGUGUAGAUUAGUAACACAACAUUUAAAUAUAAUACAUUUUAAAUUAAGGCUGUAAAAGGCAAUGAGUGUAAAUGCUUUCUGAAGUAUUUAUAUUCCGGAAUUGGACGUUGCUUGUUCUGAUAUUUCUGAAUGUCUUUGUUAGGUAUUACUUCACUGUUGGAGCUUGAAACAUUAGCAUUUCACUGCACCUGUGAUAACAUAUGCAAAAUAUUUGUAUGUGACCAACAACAAUGUAUUUUAUUUUGAGUUUUUUUUUAAAACACUUGAUUUAUCUGUAUUGUGCUGAUAUAGAAUGAUUAUUUUAUUGCACGUUAUAAAUACUUAAUAGUG